UACGUAGGGGGCGAGCGUUGUCCGGAUUCAUUGGGCGUAAAGAGCUCGUAGGCGGCUCGGUAAGUCGGGUGUGAAAUCUCCAGGCUCAACCUGGAGCGGCCACUCGAUACUGCCGUGGCUAGAGUCCGGUAGGGGACCGUGGAAUUCCUGGUGUAGCGGUGAAAUGCGCAGAUAUCAGGAGGAACACCGGUAGCGAAGGCGGCGGUCUGGGCCGGUACUGACGCUGAGGAGCGAAAGCGUGGGGAGCAAACAGG
rnacentral:rRNA from 1 species